rnacentral:rRNA from 1 species
UACGGGGGGAGCAAGCGUUGUUCGGAUUUACUGGGCGUAAAGGGCGCGUAGGCGGCCAGCCACAAGUCAGUUGUGAAAUCUCCGAGCUUAACUCGGAAAGGUCAACUGAUACUGUGCGGCUAGAGUGCAGAAGGGGCAACUGGAAUUCUUGGUGUAGCGGUGAAAUGCGUAGAUAUCAAGAGGAACACCUGCGGCGAAGGCGGGUUGCUGGGCUGACACUGACGCUGAUGCGCGAAAGCUAGGGGAGCGAACGGG